UACGGAGGAUGCGAGCGUUAUCCGGAUUUAUUGGGUUUAAAGGGUGCGUAGGCGGACGCUUAAGUCAGCGGUAAAAUUGCGGGGCUCAACCUCGUCGAGCCGUUGAAACUGGGUGCCUUGAGUGGGCGAGAAGUACGCGGAAUGCGUGGUGUAGCGGUGAAAUGCAUAGAUAUCACGCAGAACUCCGAUUGCGAAGGCAGCGUACCGGCGCCCUACUGACGCUGAAGCACGAAAGUGCGGGGAUCGAACAGG
rnacentral:rRNA from 1 species